GUACACUCCUGCGGGAGGCAGCAGUGGGGAAUAUUGCACAAUGGGCGCAAGCCUGAUGCAGCCAUGCCGCGUGUGUGAAGAAGGCCUUCGGGUUGUAAAGCACUUUCAGCGGGGAGGAAGGCGAUACGGUUAAUAACCGUGUUGAUUGACGUUACCCGCAGAAGAAGCACCGGCUAACUCCGUGCCAGCAGCCGCGGUAAUACGGAGGGUGCAAGCGUUAAUCGGAAUUACUGGGCGUAAAGCGCACGCAGGCGGUCUGUCAAGUCGGAUGUGAAAUCCCCGGGCUCAACCUGGGAACUGCAUUCGAAACUGGCAGGCGUGAGUCUUGUAGAGGGGGGUAGAAUUCCAGGUGUAGCGGUGAAAUGCGUAGAGAUCUGGAGGAAUACCGGUGGCGAAGGCGGCCCCCUGGACAAAGACUGACGCUCAGGUGCGAAAGCGUGGGGAGCAAACAGGAUUAGAUACCCCUGUAGUCCCAU
rnacentral:rRNA from 1 species